rnacentral:rRNA from 1 species
CGGGUGAGUAACACGUGGAUAACCUACCUAUAAGACUGGGAUAACUUCGGGAAACCGGAGCUAAUACCAGAUAAUAUUUUGAACCGCAUGGUUCAAAAGUGAAAGACGGUCUUGCUGUCACUUAUAGAUGGAUCCGCGCUGCAUUAGCUAGUUGGUAAGGUAACGGCUUACCAAGGCAACGAUGCAUAGCCGACCUGAGAGGGUGAUCGGCCACACUGGAACUGAGACACGGUCCAG